AAUAAUAAUAAUAAUUGGAAAAUAAUGAGAUUUACUUAUAUUUUAUUUGAUAGUAUUUGCAUUUAUUUCCAUGUUUUUGUUAAUACUAGCAAAUGUUUAAUAUGAAUUUUGGUUUGAAAUUAAACUUUCUUGGGAGGUUGUUUUGUCAAUAGGUGUUGCACCAAUUAAUUUGAAGAUUUGACUGAUACAAGUGAAACGUUUCACAAAAUAUGUGGAUUUGACCCUGGUGUCAUAUCAAUUUUAUCACAAUUGUCAUAAAAAAGAAUAACACGCAAAGUUUUCUCCUAAUGCUUGAAAGGAGGUAGUAAUGGAGAAGACAUUUUAGUUUUUAUUGCAAUUCUAGAGUCAAAUAUUGUUUAUAAUCCAAUGUUUUUCUUAUUUUAUUUUUUUAGUUUGUAGUUCAUUUCUUCCUUUCAGUUAUUUUAUUAUUUUUCUUCCACAAAAUUUCAUCGUGUGACACACCUUCACUAAAUUUGAAUCAACAUUGUAGUGAAAAAUCAAUUUCAAAUAUCCUUACUUAAUUGAAUGUAAAUUGUGAUAUUGCAAAGAAUUUAUUUAAAAUGCUUCUUGAUUUGUUUUUGUUUGUGUAAUUUCUUACUCUUAUAAAUAUGACAUUGUGCAAUAUAGUUGACUAAUAUUUUCCUUUUUCAUUAAAUUUUAGGUUUCAUUACACCUUAGACCUUUAGAGCAUUUAUGUAAAUGAAAAAUUACUUCUAAUUAAUCAAAAUGUAUUUGUAGUCUCCUACGACCAUGAAAAUAUAGUUGAUAGUGGUACAACAUUGACAUAUCUUGUUCCAGAAGCUUAUAAUCUUCUUCUUCAUGCCGCUUUAUGCAACAAAGGUGAAGUUGAGAUAUCCACCAAAGGAAUUCAUUCAUCACAUUGAUAUUGGAAGUGACAUUGUAUGGGUUAAUUGCAAUAAUUGCAGCAAUUUUCCUCAAUCUAGUGCACUUUGGAUAAGUAUUUUAAAUUUUUAGUUAUCAAGUUUUCAUAGUUGUUUUUUGUUUACUAUACAUACUUAUUAAUAAUAUUAUUUUCUUACGGUGUAGUGUUUGUUUUAUUGCUUUGCCAAUCAAGGUUCAAAUUUGGUACA